GGUCAUGGGGAAGGGUCUUCUGUGUCCUGUGGGGAGGGUGUGGACAGGCAGUCUGCAGUGUAGGGGUCACGGGGAAGGGUCUUCUGUGUCCUGUGGGGAUGGUGUGGACAGGCAGUCUGCAGUGUAGGGUCAUGGGGAAGGGUCUACUGUGUCCUGUGGGGAUGGUGUGGACAGUCUGCAAUGUAGGGGUCAUGGGGAAGGGUCUUCUGUGUCCUGUGGGGAUGGUGUGGACAGUCUGCAGUGUAGGGGUCACGGGAAGGGUCUUCUGUGUCCUGUGGGGAUGGUGUGGACAGUCUGCAGUGUAGGGUCACGGGGAAGGGUCUUCUGUGUCCUGUGGGGAUGGUGUGGACAGUCUGCAGUGUAGGGGUCACGGGAAGGGUCUUCUGUGUCUUCAGGGACAGCUGUUGCUCAUCACCAAUUCACCACUGCAAUGUCAAAUUUUCGUCAGAGCCGCGAUCUCUCAUGGUUGUUUGGAAACUGUAACGCUAUAAAUGGAUUAUUACUUUUUAAAGCAUCAACACUGUUUCUGCCAAGUCAAAAUAUCUACAAAAUAUCCACAGGACGUGAGUUUAAACUUUUGUUUAGGUGUUUGGGUUUAUAAUUUGGUACCCUGGCUUACAGUGCUUCUGUAUGGAUACUGGCAAAUAAAUAAAAAUACAGUAACAUGUGUGAACUAUAGAGAGAAACUUCUCACUGCCUGGAGGUACACAAACUCUGGCCUUCUAAUGCCUAGUCCCUUGUCCCCAAAGAGCUAAAAUGGUCAAGGGCUAAGAACUGUAUCAGACAUCCCUGUAAGGCCACAAUCUUCUCUGUAUAGAAAGCAGGGAGCAGGCUGAGGGUGUGGCUUGCUGGCAGAAUGGGGAACAGCGGUGUGUGGAGUCCCCGGAGGAAGCAGGGCGGGAGCUGGCUGGGCUGGAGGACCUGAUGGGCUGAUGUGUGAGUGUAUAUAUGUCCAAGUAUGCGUAUCACGUGUGUGUAGAACCCUGAGGAGGUCCGUAUGCAGCCCCAGGAACCGGAGUUACAGACAGCUGUGAACCUGUGGUGCUGGAAUGGACCCCAGGGCCUUGGCUACUGCGGGACGCCCCUGAAGAGUCCCCCAGCCUCUCCAACUCUUAGCCAAGUAUUGCAAGUGCUCUUCUUCCUGCCUGCCCGCCCCCCUCCGGCGGAACUGCCAGAAAAGCAGACCAGCAGACAUGCGAAGGGGGAGCACAGACCACCAAAGUCAGCAGGAAUGGCGACCCGCCCAGGCUGACGCAAAACACACUUGUUUCUUGUUUGUUUGUUUUUUUUUUUUCUCCCCCGGCUUUAAGUGGGAGCAACGGUGUUUCUCCUAAGACUUCCAGGCUGGAAGUUUCUCAUGGCUGUUUUUCCUCCUGGGGUCUUGCUAACCUGGGAAAUUCCCAGUUUCCCCUGGGUUCCAUCUGUGGACUGGAACACAGGAUGGAAAGGUCUGAAAAGCUGUUGACUAAAAGGUGAGUGAUGUGGGAGUGUCAUAUAUCAAUCUGUUGAUUUCAUUGGUUAAGCAAUAAAGAAACUGCUUGGCCCUGAUAGGUUAAAACAUAGGUGGGAGGAGUAAACAGAACAGAAUGCUGGGAGGAAGAGGAAGUGAGGUAAGACUCCUCAGACAGACUCCAUAGCUGCUCUCUGAGGCACACGCGAUGAAGCUCCAACCCAGGAUGGAUGUAGACUAGAAUCUUCCCAUUAUUUUCCUGAAGCCGUGAUAAUUUAGAAGAUGUAUUCUGUGUGCCCAGAGGCACCUGUAACCAUACGUGGAAUUAUGUAACUAGAGGGGAGCCUACAGACCUGGUGCAGCCGAGCAGAUGCAUCCUCUCUGGACUUCGAUUCCGGAGCUGUUGACUCAGAGUCCCAGGGAUGACGCAGAGGCCACUGUGGCCAGGCACAGCAGCUAGGGCAGCUGCAUCCGGUUUCCAGUCGAGGAGGAGACAGCUGUUAUGAGGCAGUAUGCAAUGUCCUGCGUCCAAAGACUUGGCAGUGUGAGCCAUGGGGUCAGUCCUUGGCGGCUGGGGUGAUGACCUCCUGGGAGCAGCCCUGUGGAAUGCUUGGGUGUGGCUUUUUUUUUUUUUUUUUUGGCCUGAAUGAUUCUCCUUCCCACCUUUGCUUCUCAAAUUAGCUUAAAAGUUGACUUAAUUCAUUAGCCACAAAAACUAGGGUGUCAACAAGAGCUAGCUCUUAGAUAGUGCCUUCUGUGUGGCAGGUGCUUGUCUGAAUACCUUGUAUAUCUUAACUUGACAUUUUUACCGCAACCCUAGGAAAGAGAGAUGGGCAUUAGCCCCAUUUUAUGGAUGAUGAAACUGAGCUACAGGGAGACUAGGUUACUCAACCACGGCUACCCAGCUGACGCUCAAACCCCAUCACUCUGGCCUAGUUCUUGGGAGCCUCGACUGAGUCACACCUUGUUUUAUAACUUGAUUUCUUUUCAUGUAACACAUUUAAUGAGCGUUUCAUUUUGUUAGAUAUUCAGCUAAGAUGCAUACUGUUCAAAGGGUGACUCACUAUUUAAGCAACUCCCUAUUGUUAAACAUUAAGGACAUCCCAACGGAUAAACUUUUUAUUUUAAUUUUUAGGUGACCAUACAAAGUCACAGAUGGCUUCGUCAAGUCAUUUUAACACACAGUUGUCACUUGCUUUGUUAUCAUUUGAUCCCUGCUAUACCGUGGCUUAACAUGCAUGACUUAUUUCCUUGCAAUAAAGUCCCAGAGGUGGGAUGCUGGGCCAAAGCAAAAUUUAAUUACCUUCUAGAAUGAUAAUCUGUUUUUUUAAUACACAGCAUUAUCUAUGAGUUAUUGACAUUGAACAUCUAAGUGGGUUUUGUGUGUGCAUCUCAUGAAAAAAAAUGACAGAUCUUUCCCUUUUAAAUUUGGAAUUCUUUAAACAUUUAAAAACACAAUUUUAGGGACUGGAGAGAUAGUUUAACAAGUUAAGUAUGUGACAGAGAUGGGAGUCUGAUCCCCGGAACCAACGUCAGAAGCCUGUGUUGCUGGCCUGUGCUUAUAAUCCCAGCACAGGGGAGAGAGAAGACGGGGCUCCCUGGGAGCUUGCUGGUUAGCUCAUCUCAGUGACAGACUCUGCUUCAGAAUCCUGAGUGGAUGGCUUCUGAAGAAUGCUACAGACCUGCACACGUGCAAGCAUGCACACUUGGUCAUACAUGUGCGUUCUCCACAUGAACACAUGCACACACAAAAAUUUUGCCCAUUUAUUCGGUCACUUUGCAAAUGGUUUUCAUAAUCAUCUAUAAUGCUGAGACUACAUCAAGACUCUUUUUGCCUCUUUUGUUUCUCAAGACAGGGUUUCUCUGUAUAGCCCUGGUACUUGCUUUGUAGACCGGGCUGCCUUCAGAUUUACAGAGGUCCACCUGCCUCUCCAUCCUGAGUGCUGGGGAUUACAGGUGUGUGGUUCCACGCCUGAUCUAGAUAACUCCUUAGUUGAGACUGCCACGUGAGUUCAGGUUGUGUCAAGCUAGAACUCACCAGCACACGCACUUUUUGGAAAAGUGUCAGAAUAGAGGAAACAAGAAAAUAGUUUCAGCUUAGAAUUGUGUGUCUAAUCCCUUGUAAAUUGUAUGAGUAACGUCUCAGAUCUGGCUCAUCUUUUUCAUCGACAUGUGCGGUCCUCACCAUUCCUAGGUUGACUUCAGAUAGACACUGAUACAUGGAGCAUUAUGAACAAUCCUUGAGAAUACGGAAGUGUGGGGCUGAAAGAAAGCCCAGCCAAUUAAAGGCACGCACUGCUCUUGCCGAGGACUGUCAUUUAGUUCCUAGGACACAUGGCAAGUAGCAUAGAACAGCUUGUAACUCCAGCUCCAGGGGUGGUGUAAGAGGUUCUUCUGUUUGUGUGUUGCUUUCAUUGGUUGAAUGAAGAGACUGCCUUGGCCUUUUGAUAGGGCAGCCCCUUAAGUGGGCGGAGCAGACAGAACAGAAUGCUGGGAAGAAGGGAAGUGUGGCAGAGGCCAUGAUUCUCCUGCCCGAGAUGGACGCUGGUUAGAUUCAGGCCGGUAAGCCACAGUCAGGUGGCAAUACACGUUAAUGGAAAUGGGUUAAUCAAGAUGUGAGAGUUAGCCAAUGAGAGGCUAGAGGUAAUGGGCUAGGCAGUAAUUUAAUUAAUACAAUUUCUGUGUGGUUAUUUUGGGUAUAAGCUAGCCGGGCGGGAUGGAACAAAGGGCCCGUGCUCCUCCUCACAACACAAGGGAUCUGAUGCAUUUGGCCUCUGAGGAUACCUGAAUUUAUAUGUAUGUAUGUAUAUGUAUAUAUGUAUAUCCACAUAUAGACACCCAUCCAAAUAUGUAAUUGAAAAUAAUCUUUAAAACUGUUGGCAAGUAGAAGGAAUUUGUCACUAAGAAUCAUAUAUAUAAUUCCAUUGUGUGAAAUGCACUGAUUCUAUAGACAGAAAAUAAAGGAACGAUU